GGUGAUUGGUGUGCACGGUGCCAGUCUGUGUUAUGUGUUGUUGCUGGACUGCGUUUUGCAGACUGGGCAGCAUCACUCACAUCACACUUGCAGCCACAGAACAACAGGAGAUCAUAGUACUGGUCCUUGACGUCUUUAUCGACCCAUCACCUUUGGCCAGCCUCCACUCUCUCCUACAUGC
ensembl:snoRNA small nucleolar RNA SNORA23